UACGGGGGGGGCAAGCGUUGUUCGGAAUUACUGGGCGUAAAGGGCUCGUAGGCGGCCAACUAAGUCGGAUGUGAAAUCCCCAGGCUUAACCGGGGAACUGCGUCUGAUACUGGAUGGCUUGAGUUCGGGAGAGGGAUGCGGAAUUCCAGGUGUAGCGGUGAAAUGCGUAGAUAUCUGGAGGAACACCGGUGGCGAAGGCGGCAUCCUGGACCGAUACUGACACUGAGGAGCGAAAGCCAGGGGAGCAAACGGG
rnacentral:rRNA from 1 species